UACGUAGGGUCCGAGCGUUGUCCGGAAUUAUUGGGCGUAAAGGGCUCGUAGGCGGUUUGUCGCGUCGGGAGUGAAAUCCACUGGCUUAACUGGUGGCUUGCUUCCGAUACGGGCAGACUAGAGGUAUGCAGGGGAGAACGGAAUUCCUGGUGUAGCGGUGAAAUGCGCAGAUAUCAGGAGGAACACCGGUGGCGAAGGCGGUUCUCUGGGCCUUACCUGACGCUCAGGUGCGAAAGCUAGGGGGAGCGAACAGG
rnacentral:rRNA from 1 species